rnacentral:snRNA from 1 species
GUGCUUACUUCGGCAGCAAAGAAAUUAAAAUUGGAAAAAUAUAGAGAUUAACAUGCCUCCUAGUUAAAGAUUACCUGCUAAUUCAUGGAAUACUACAAACAUUA